AAGAUCUUAAGUUAAUAAACUAUUUGCCUUCAAAACAAAAAUUAGAGAAUUUCUAGAUCUUG
rnacentral:tRNA from 1 species